rnacentral:rRNA from 1 species
CCUACGGGAGGCAGCAGUGGGGAAUAUUGGACAAUGGGGGCAACCCUGAUCCAGCGACGCCGCGUGAGUGAAGAAGGAUUUCGGUACGUAAAGCUCUUUCAGCAGGAAAGAAAAUGACGGUACCUGACUAAGAAGCCACGGCUAACUACGUGCCAGCAGCCGCGGUAAUACGUAGGGGGCAAGCGUUAUCCGGAUUUACUGGGUGUAAAGGGAGCGUAGACGGCAUCGCAAGUCUGGUGUGAAAUGCCGGGGCCCAACCCCGAAACUGCCUUGGAAACUGUGAUGCUGGAGUGCAGGAGAGGUAGGCGGAAUUCCGGGUGUAGCGGUGAAAUGCGUAGAUAUCAGGAGGAACACCGGCGGCGAAGGCGGCUUACUGGACUAUAACUGACGUUGAGGCUCGAAGGCGUGGGGAGCAAACAGGAUUAGAUACCCUAGUAGUC